rnacentral:rRNA from 1 species
GGGUUGUGAGGUUAAGCGACUAAGCGUACACGGUGGAUGCCCUGGCAGUCAGAGGCGAUGAAGGACGUGCUAAUCUGCGAAAAGCGCCGGCGAGGUGAUAUGAACCUUUGACCCGGCGAUGUCCGAAUGGGGAAACCCAGUGCAAUCCGUUGCACUAUCGUUAACUGAAUACAUAGGUUAACGAGGCGAACCGGGGGAACUGAAACAUCUAAGUACCCCGAGGAAAAGAAAUCAACCGAGAUUCCCCCAGUAGCGGCGAGCGAACGGGGAGCAGCCCGGAGUCUGAAUCAGCUUGUGUGUUAGUGGAACGGUCUGGAAAGUCCGACGGUACAGGGUGAUAGUCCCGUACACGAAAAUGCACAGGUUGUGAACUCGAAGAGUAGGGCGGGACACGUGGUAUCCUGUCUGAAUAUGGGGGGACCAUCCUCCAAGGCUAAAUACUCCUGACUGACCGAUAGUGAACCAGUACCGUGAGGGAAAGGCGAAAAGAACCCCGGCGAGGGGAGUGAAAAAGAACCUGAAACCGUGUACGUACAAGCAGUGGGAGCCUCUUUAUGGGGUGACUGCGUACCUUUUGUAUAAUGGGUCAGCGACUUAUAUUCUGUAGCAAGGUUAACCGUAUAGGGGAGCCGAAGGGAAACCGAGUCUUAACUGGGCGUUAAGUUGCAGGGUAUAGACCCGAAACCCGGUGAUCUAGCCAUGGGCAGGUUGAAGGUUGGGUAACACUAACUGGAGGACCGAACCGACUAAUGUUGAAAAAUUAGCGGAUGACCUGUGGCUGGGGGUGAAAGGCCAAUCAAACCGGGAGAUAGCUGGUUCUCCCCGAAAGCUAUUUAGGUAGCGCCUCGUGAAUUCAUCUUCGGGGGUAGAGCACUGUUUCGGCUAGGGGGCCAUCCCGGCUUACCAACCCGAUGCAAACUACGAAUACCGAAGAAUGUUAUCACGGGAGACACACGGCGGGUGCUAACGUCCGUCGUGAAGAGGGAAACAACCCAGACCGCCAGCUAAGGUCCCAAAGUCAUGGUUAAGUGGGAAACGAUGUGGGAAGGCACAGACAGCCAGGAUGUUGGCUUAGAAGCAGCCAUCAUUUAAAGAAAGCGUAAUAGCUCACUGGUCGAGUCGGCCUGCGCGGAAGAUGUAACGGGGCUAAACCAUGCACCGAAGCUGCGGCAGCGACGCUUAUGCGUUGUUGGGUAGGGGAGCGUUCUGUAAGCCGUUGAAGGUGUCCUGUGAGGGGUGCUGGAGGUAUCAGAAGUGCGAAUGCUGACAUAAGUAACGAUAAAGCGGGUGAAAAGCCCGCUCGCCGGAAGACCAAGGGUUCCUGUCCAACGUUAAUCGGGGCAGGGUGAGUCGACCCCUAAGGCGAGGCCGAAAGGCGUAGUCGAUGGGAAACAGGUUAAUAUUCCUGUACUUGGUGUUACUGCGAAGGGGGGACGGAGAAGGCUAUGUCAGCCGGGCGACGGUUGUCCCGGUUUAAGCAUGUAGGCGGAGGUUCCAGGUAAAUCCGGUACCUUAUUAACGCUGAGGUGUGAUGACGAGGCACUACGGUGCUGAAGUGAUAAAUGCCCUGCUUCCAGGAAAAGCCUCUAAGCAUCAGGUAACACGAAAUCGUACCCCAAACCGACACAGGUGGUCAGGUAGAGAAUACCAAGGCGCUUGAGAGAACUCGGGUGAAGGAACUAGGCAAAAUGGUGCCGUAACUUCGGGAGAAGGCACGCUGAUAUGUAGGUGAAGUCCCUGCGGACGGAGCUGAAAUCAGUCGAAGAUACCAGCUGGCUGCAACUGUUUAUUAAAAACACAGCACUGUGCAAACACGAAAGUGGACGUAUACGGUGUGACGCCUGCCCGGUGCCGGAAGGUUAAUUGAUGGGGUUAGCGGCAACGCGAAGCUCUUGAUCGAAGCCCCGGUAAACGGCGGCCGUAACUAUAACGGUCCUAAGGUAGCGAAAUUCCUUGUCGGGUAAGUUCCGACCUGCACGAAUGGCGUAAUGAUGGCCAGGCUGUCUCCACCCGAGACUCAGUGAAAUUGAACUCGCUGUGAAGAUGCAGUGUACCCGCGGCAAGACGGAAAGACCCCGUGAACCUUUACUAUAGCUUGACACUGAACACUGGUCCUUGAUGUGUAGGAUAGGUGGGAGGCUUUGAAGCGUGGACGCCAGUCUGCGUGGAGCCAACCUUGAAAUACCACCCUUUAAUGGCUGGUGUUCUAACGUAGACCCGUAAUCCGGGUUGCGGACAGUGUCUGGUGGGUAGUUUGACUGGGGCGGUCUCCUCCCAAAGAGUAACGGAGGAGCACGAAGGUUGGCUAAUCCUGGUCGGACAUCAGGAGGUUAGUGCAAUGGCAUAAGCCAGCUUGACUGCGAGCGUGACGGCGCGAGCAGGUGCGAAAGCAGGUCAUAGUGAUCCGGUGGUUCUGAAUGGAAGGGCCAUCGCUCAACGGAUAAAAGGUACUCCGGGGAUAACAGGCUGAUACCGCCCAAGAGUUCAUAUCGACGGCGGUGUUUGGCACCUCGAUGUCGGCUCAUCACAUCCUGGGGCUGAAGUAGGUCCCAAGGGUAUGGCUGUUCGCCAUUUAAAGUGGUACGCGAGCUGGGUUUAGAACGUCGUGAGACAGUUCGGUCCCUAUCUGCCGUGGGCGCUGGAGAAUUGAGGGGGGCUGCUCCUAGUACGAGAGGACCGGAGUGGACGCAUCACUGGUGUUCGGGUUGUCAUGCCAAUGGCACUGCCCGGUAGCUAAAUGCGGAAAAGAUAAGUGCUGAAAGCAUCUAAGCACGAAACUUGCCCCGAGAUGAGUUCUCCCUGAGACCUUGAGUCUCCUGAAGGAACGUUGAAGACGACGACGUUGAUAGGUCGGGUGUGUAAGCGCAGCGAUGCGUUGAGCUAACCGAUACUAAUGAACCGUGAGGCUUAACCUUACAACGCCGAAGCUGUU